GAUGAACGCUGGCGGCGUGCCUAAUACAUGCAAGUCGAGCGAACAGACGAGGAGCUUGCUCCUCUGACGUUAGCGGCGGACGGGUGAGUAACACGUGGAUAACCUACCUAUAAGACUGGGAUAACUUCGGGAAACCGGAGCUAAUACCGGAUAAUAUAUUGAACCGCAUGGUUCAAUAGUGAAAGACGGUUUUGCUGUCACUUAUAGAUGGAUCCGCGCCGCAUUAGCUAGUUGGUAAGGUAACGGCUUACCAAGGCAACGAUGCGUAGCCGACCUGAGAGGAUGAUCGGCCACACUGGAACUGAGACACGGUCCAGACUCCUACGGGAGGCAGCAGUAGGGAAUCUUGCGCAAUGGGCGAAAGCCUGACGGAGCAACGCCGCGUGAGUGAUGAAGGUCUUCGGAUCGUAAAACUCUGUUAUUAGGGAAGAAAAAAUGUGUAAGUAACUAUGGACGUCUUGACGGUACCUAAUCAGAAAGCCACGGCUAACUACGUG
rnacentral:rRNA from 1 species